rnacentral:rRNA from 1 species
GACGAACCGAGCGAACGUUAUUCGGAAUCACUGGGCUUAAAGGGCGCGUAGGCGGACGACCAAGUCAGGGGUGAAAGCCCCCGGCUCAACCGGGGAAGUGCCUUUGAUACUGGUCGUCUCGAGGGAGGUAGGGGCGUGCGGAACUUCCGGUGGAGCGGUGAAAUGCGUAGAUAUCGGAAGGAACACCGGUGGCGAAAGCGGCGCGCUGGACCUCUUCUGACGCUGAGGCGCGAAAGCCAGGGGAGCGAACGGG